AUAAAUUAAAAACUUCUUUAUUUAUUAUUAUUUGAGUUGUCGUUUUCAGUAUAAUUGGCGUUCUUAAAACUUUAUGUAGACGAAUUUUCAAAAUUAUUAGGAGACUUCCACCGGUGAGAGGGUUUAUUUCCAGAUCUUUUUUGAUUACAAUUUUAAAAGAUGCUGUGGUCUUCGAGUGUCUUGGAGAAUUAAAUAUAAAACAGAAUCCUGCACAAUACAACACUAAAAAGCACUUAUAACAGAAUUUCUCGGUUCUUGCUUAUUGGGUGCUUUAUUUUACGAUUGUUAGUUUUGAAUACCAAGUAUUUAACAGUGGAUUUAUUUUGCACAAUAUUAUAGCACUUCUUGUCGCACCAGUUUCUGCACGUUCACAAGUAGUAAAGUGAAUAUAAGAAAAUAUACUAGAAACAUUUUUUGUUAGGAAUACAUUCAAUUGGAAGAGAGCGUCGACUCACAGAAUAAAUUGAUUAGUCGCUUUCUGAUGUAUGAUAAACUAUAUACUUCAAAAAUAUUUUAAGAAUUUUGAAGGUUCCGAUUAUAAGAGUGUCAUUGGACUUCCGAAACUGUAAAAAUGGCUGACAACAACACUGUUAUAUCCAAAAUAUUUAAGCAAUUUCAAGAGAGUGUAGAUGAAGAAUUUUUCAUUGAGAACCCCCGCUUGCUGGAUAUAUUUAAUAUAGCCAAAAAAGCUUUAAAGAUUUUAUUAAUAGUAGGAUCAAUUCUAUUGACCCUCUAUAAUAUAUUUUAUAAAUAAUAA